CGUGAGAUGUUGGGUUAAGUUCCCGCAACGAGCGCAACCCUUGUCCUUUGUUGCCAGCGGGUAAAGCCGGGAACUCAAAGGAGACUGCCAGUGACAAACUGGAGGAAGGCAGGGAUGACGUCAAGUCAUCAUGGCCCUUACGGUCAGGGCUACACACGUGCUACAAUGGGGCGUACAGAGGGAAACGAUACCGCGAGGUGGAGUGGAACCCAAAAAGCGUCCCUAAGUUCGGAUUGGAGUCUGCAACUCGACUCCAUGAAGUCGGAUCGCUAGUAAUCGA
rnacentral:rRNA from 1 species